rnacentral:rRNA from 1 species
GGAGGGGGCAAGCGUUAUUCGGGUUUACUGGGCGUAAAGCGCACGUAGGUGGCAUGGUAAGUCAAAGGUGAAAGCCCUCGGCUCAACCGAGGAAUUGCCCUUGAAACUGCUUUGCUUAAGUCCGGGAGGGGGGAGCGGAAUUCCCAGCGUAGCGGUGAAAUGCGUAGAUACUGGGAGGAACACCGGUGGCGAAGGCGGCUCCCUGGACCGGUACUGACACUGAGGUGCGAAAGCGUGAGUAGCAAACAGGAUUAGAUACCCUGGUAGUCCACGCCGUAAACGAUGGGCACUAGGUGCAGCGGGUGUCGACCCCCUGCUGUGCCGAAGCUAACGCAUUAAGUGCCCCGCCUGGGGAGUACGGUCGCAAGGCUG